UACGUAGGGAGCAAGCGUUGUCCGGAUUCACUGGGUGUAAAGGGUGCGCAGGCGGGGUGGCAAGGCAGAGGUGAAAUCUCACAGCUUAACUGUGAAACUGCCUUUGAUACUUCCAAUCUUGAGUUAAAGAGAGGUUGAUGGAAUUUCAGGUGUAGCGGUGAAAUGCGUAGAUAUCUGAAAGAACACCAGUGGCGAAGGCGGUCAACUGGCUUUUAACUGACGCUCAGGCACGAAAGCGUGGGUAGCGAACAGG
rnacentral:rRNA from 1 species